rnacentral:rRNA from 1 species
AGCAGCCGCGGUAAUUCCAGCUCCAAUAGCGUAUAUUAAAGUUGUUGCAGUUAAAAAGCUCGUAGUUGAACUUCGGGGUUUACCCAUUGGUCAGGCUUAAUUGUCUGUACUGGUGAGAUAAAUCUCUACCUUCUGAGGAACUUUCAUGCCAUUAAUUUGGUGUGAUGGGAAAUCAGGACUGUUACUUUGAAAAAUUAGAGUGUUUAAAGCAGGCUAACGUCUGAAUACAUUAGCAUGGAAUAAUGAAAUAGGACGGACUGAUUCUAUUUCGUUGGUUUCUAGGAUCACCGUAAUGAUUAAUAGGGAUAGUUGGGGGCAUUAGUAUUCAAUUGUCAGAGGUGAAAUUCUUGGAUUUAUUGAAGACUAACUACUGCGAAAGCAUUUGCCAAGGAUGUUUUCAUUAAUCAAGAACGAAAGUUAGGGGAUCGAAGACGAUCAGAUACCGUCGUAGUCUUAACCAUAAACUAUGCCGACUAGGGAUCGGACGAAGUUAAUUUUAUAAUU